rnacentral:RNase_P_RNA from 1 species
GUGUUCGGGUGAUCGCUGUACAGCCUGGCUGUAUAGAGGAAAGUCCAUGCUCACACAGUCUGAGAUGAUUGUAGUGUUCGCGCCUGACGAAACAAUAAGUCAGGGUAGCUGAUUUUUCAGCUAACGGCAGGAGAAGAACCUACGUGCGUUUGGCGCAUAUGGAUCUUCACCUUGAAAGUGCCACAGUGACGAAGUCUGAUUGGAAACAAUCAGAGUGGAACGAGGUAAACCCCGCGAGUGAGAAACCCAAAACAUGGUAGGGGAACUUCUGCGAAGGAAUUCAACGGAGCAGAAGGCAGCUCUGUAUAAGAGCUGCAGACAGAUGAUUACCGCUUUUUGUGCGCUGCAUAAAAAGAACAGAACAUGGCUUACAGAA